CCUGGUGGCUCAGCCAGUAAAGCAUCUGCCUACAAUGCAGAAGACCCGGGUUCAAUCCCUGGGUCAGGA
rnacentral:tRNA from 1 species